AAUGAACGCUGGCGGCAUGCCUUACACAUGCAAGUCGAACGGCAGCAUGACCUAGCUUGCUAGGUUGAUGGCGAGUGGCGAACGGGUGAGUAAUGCAUCGGAACGUGCCUUUUAGUGGGGGAUAACGUAGCGAAAGUUACGCUAAUACCGCAUAUUCUCUGAGGAGGAAAGCAGGGGACCUUCGGGCCUUGCGCUAGAAGAGCGGCCGAUGUCGGAUUAGCUAGUUGGUGAGGUAAAGGCUCACCAAGGCACCGAUCCGUAGCGGGUCUGAGAGGAUGAUCCGACACACUGGGACUGAGACAAGGCCCAGACUCCUACGGGAGGCAGCGGUGGGGAAUUUUGGACAAUGGGCGCAAGCCUGAUCCAGCCAUGCCGCGUGAGUGAAGAAGGCCUUCGGGUUGUAAAGCUCUUUCGGCUGGGAAGAAAUCGCACCCUCUAAUACAGGGUGUGGAUGACGGUACCAGCAUAAGAAGCACCGGCUAACUACGUG
rnacentral:rRNA from 1 species